UUCCUGACUCCUUUUAAAGCAAGCAAAAAUUGUGAUUGCUUGCAUUCCUUGAUCACUUCUUUGCCUGGAGGAUACAGCCUUCAGGCCUCUCAAAAAAAGUUUCACGCCAGUCACGUUGGCUGAAGCCUGUAAUCCCAGCACUUCAGGAGGCGGAGGCUGGUGGAUCACCUGAGGUCAGGAGUUCAAGACCAUCCUGGCCAACAUGGCUAAACCUUAUCUCUACUAAAAAUAUAAAACUAAGCCAGGUAUGGUGGUGUGCACCUGUAAUCCCAGCUAUUCAGGAGGCCAAGACAGGAGAAUUUCUUGAACCUAGGAGGUGGAUGUUGCAGUGAGCAAAGAUCAUGCGACUGCACCAGAUCGCCACAGGUUGACAAUGAGAUGAUGGACUCCUCAUUCAUCAUGAUUACUUCCUUACCCUUCUCUAGUUCUUGUUUUCUUACACACAGUUACAUUUCUUCCUUGCUAUAUAAAGUCCUACUUUCAGUUGUUCAGGGAGAUGGAUUUGAGACUGUGCUCUCAUCCCCUUGGCUACAAGACAUGAUUAAAACCUUCUCCUUGGCAACAUUUGAUGCCUCAGUGAUUGGUUUUCUGUGUGGUGAGCAGCAGGAACAAGUCUGAACCCCUGGUGUUCUGGUAAUGAGCAGAAAUCAAUAUCAACACAUAUUAUAAAUACAGAAAGCUGUUUUGGUGGUUAUAAAUUAUGGUUCAAGUCUAACCUUUUUUUGUCAUAGUAUGGGCUUUCAGAUAAAAUUUGGGAACCUCAUUAUAUUGAGAUAUUCAAUGAAAAUACUGCAAUAUUUAAUUUGAGGACUAAACUGUCACCUUUUUUUUCUUGUCUUGUCCAACUUUCUGUCUAAGAGGUCUGAGUAGUCAUGCCUCACAAACCAUAAAGUCUCAUGAGAGAAGUUUUAUUUAACCACCAUAUAACAUAGCUUAGUUUCCAACCUGACUAUGACAUAAUAUCACAAAACAGAUAAAGAAGAAAAUCAAAAUAUCUUAACCUUGAGUACGAUUCUUUGGUAUAUCUUGAAAUAGCCCUGCAAACUUGUCUUUUGUCAGGGGAAAUCUACAUUCUUUAGAAAAUCCCUUUCUCUUUUCCAGGCCUUUUCCCUGAUCCAGGGUCGAAUCACCUAAGAGUCUGACACCUUUUUAAGUCUAUUAAGAAUAACUUAGAAUCUAUUCUCCCCAAAGCUUGCUACCUGGAAGCAUCAUCUGCAUAUUAAGGACGUUGGUCUCCACAAUCCUUUGUCUUAACUCGACAUAUACUUUAUACUGAUUCCAAGUGUUUAGAUAAACUCUUUCAACC
rnacentral:lncRNA from 1 species